UACGAAGGGUGCAAGCGUUACUCGGAAUUACUGGGCGUAAAGCGUGCGUAGGCGGUUUGUUAAGUCCGCUGUGAAAGCCCUGGGCUCAACCUGGGAAUUGCAGUGGAUACUGGCAAGCUAGAGUGCGGUAGAGGAUGGUGGAAUUCCCGGUGUAGCGGUGAAAUGCGUAGAGAUCGGGAAGAACACCAGUGGCGAAGGCGGCUAUCUGGACGGUUUCUGACGCUAAGACGCGAAAGCGUGGGGAGCAAACAGG
rnacentral:rRNA from 1 species